rnacentral:lncRNA from 1 species
CCUCAGAGAGACGGACAGACAGUCACUUUGAUAUUAUCAGAUAUUGUUUGUCUCAUUGUCUCGCAAGUUAUAUACUUCCAAUCAAAAUAGUACUCAUAAGAAGUCCUUGCAAAAUAACUUCGAAAGGACUUGAGUUGGCAGUGUUUCCAACUGCUUCGAGUUUAUAUACAUAUUCCACAAGAUAUUAACCUUUUUUUCUCUUUUCAUUUCCACAUGGAUUUCCUUUGAAUCAUGCAUGAUAUUAGCUGCCUCAAUUUAGUAUUCAAUCAUUAAUCUGGUCUACCACGAGCACCUUUUAACUUUAAGAAUUUGACUUAUUUUACCUUAAAAGGUAAUCCUGGUCUCAAGUAUUCCAUGAUCAACAAAUAUUUUUCAAAUAUUUUAUAUUUGUUCCCUUAAAGAUUGCUCAUCUUUGUCUCAUUGGCAUAUGUUUUUUCUGCAAUCAUCAAUUAUUUCUUAGUCUAUGGCAGCAGGCCUGAUUCCUGAUUAACAACCCAUAGAGUAGUUAGUAAAGAUUCCGUAAUCUCAUUUUAGCAACUUCCCAAAUUGCCUCAGUAACUUGUUUGUAAGUUGUUGGUGUAAGCUCACAUUUGACAGACCAGGUACCAGUUUAUAUACCACUCUUUCCUACUUCAUUAAUCCCCUUUCCCAUUUAAAAUCUUGUUUUUAAUGACAAAUGGAGUCUAGUAUGCUCACAACGUUUGUAUGAAUACAUGUAGCAAAUUAUUUUAUCCUAAUCACAAACUUUCCUGAAUAGCAUGAGUAGUGGCAUACACUCAUUAUGAAGUACUUAUAUAUCCAUGUAUAUAUGGCUAAAAUUUUCAAAGUAUAUUAAUGUUGACAUAUAUCUUAACUUGUUACUUGCAUAGUUCCUUUCAUCAUGUUCAGUGUUUUAAGUGUUUUCCGAGCACCUGUUGACUCCCGAGAUGAUUCAGAAUUUGACUCCUUUCCGUCAAACUGAUUGUUCCUUAGUAUACAUAUACAUAUACAGUGAAAAACACACAAUUUUUACACUUACUACCUAUUAUGAUAGGCAUGUGCAACAGAUUAAAUUUCUUCUGGCAUUUAAUAUAUCCAAAUAUUUCAAAAAAAUAAAAAAUUCGGAACAAAAAAUUAGUUCCAGUAAGGGCUGUUCCAGAAAAUACUAUGUCCCCCCCCAGGGAAGGCAAUUUUUUUAAAUAUUAUGUGGGUGGUUGUAUUUGAAAUACCAAAAUGCAAAGGGAGUGCUGUUCUAAUUAAAUUUUAUUUCUGUGGGUGGUGGGGGUUAAAAAAAAGUGCCGUCCCUGGGGGGGACAUAGUAUUUUCUGGAACAGCCCUAAAAACAAAACAU